AGCGAACGCUGGCGGCAGGCUUAACACAUGCAAGUCGAACGGGCGUAGCAAUACGUCAGUGGCAGACGGGUGAGUAACGCGUGGGAACGUACCUUUUGGUUCGGAACAACCCAGGGAAACUUGGGCUAAUACCGGAUAAGCCCUUACGGGGAAAGAUUUAUCGCCGAAAGAUCGGCCCGCGUCUGAUUAGCUAGUUGGUGUGGUAACGGCGCACCAAGGCGACGAUCAGUAGCUGGUCUGAGAGGAUGAUCAGCCACAUUGGGACUGAGACACGGCCCAAACUCCUACGGGAGGCAGCAGUGGGGAAUAUUGGACAAUGGGCGCAAGCCUGAUCCAGCCAUGCCGCGUGAGUGAUGAAGGCCCUAGGGUUGUAAAGCUCUUUUGUGCGGGAAGAUAAUGACGGUACCGCAAGAAUAAGCCCCGCUAACUUCGUGCCAGCAGCCGCAGUAAG
rnacentral:rRNA from 1 species